GUGCGUGGGGGAGAAGUAAAACAGUCUCUCAUCAUGUGAGAGCUCAAAGACACACACACACACAUGCUCCUCACCAUGGAAACGCUUCUCACCUCUGGGUUGUCGUGGAGACACUCCUCACCUGGACAGUAGACUCUGCCCUGCAUUAACCGGAAUUAUAUAGUUUAGCCAAUCAGACACCUGGCGGCUGGAUGGAAUAAGGAAGUAAUCUGCAUAGGCUAAUCCUAAUCCACAGACAAAGGCAAUUUUAAUCGGAGGUCUUCUCGGCAGGCUGGGCUCGUCUGGCUGGACCUGUAGGAUUGAUCCACCAAAGAUUGGAGGAUACCCAAAAUCUAUUUCUCCAAUAGGAAUCCCAGAUCACGCUUGUGACAGCACACAGAUGGAUCUAAUCUUCCUCUCUCCCUUUGACCUCAAUACAACCACAUGGUGAUCUGUUCAACUACCCCUGUUCUGUAGUUGUUCAUGGAAGUAAUUGUUGGAUGUGCCUCUAAGUUUAAACCCUCUCUGACUCUCUACCAACUACAGGUAGUAACCGGCUUUUGCACAGAAGGCUGCAGUGAAUGGAGGUGGAUGGAAGCGCCUUUGAUGUGGUUUAGAUAAUCUAUUGUUUGCUUUUGGCUGUCUGGUGACAUGUUCGGCAGUGUGAAGAAAAUCAUCUCUCUGUUUGAGACUCGACGGCAGCCUCGCCCCCUCUCUCUACCUCCUUCCCUCCCUCCAUCUCUCUCUCCUUCUCUUCCUGCAUCUGUUUCUUCAUCUCUUCCCCUAUCCCUCCCUUCCUCCCUAUCCCCUCUCAGGUCCAGUAAAAAAGCCCCCCAGUCCCCCUUAAAGAGACACUCCUCUCCUUCUGCCUCCCUCUCCGGCUGCCCUUCCUCCUUCUCCGGCUGCCCUUCCUCCCUCUACCCUCAGACCAAACCCAGACCCCCCCCCAACCCCCCACCUGUCCACCAACCACUACAACUUCCUGCUAGAUGGAGAGUAGGAGAAGAAGGCAGGGAGGGAGUGAGUGAUACGGGUUGGGGUCAUGGAGGGCUGAGAGGUCGUGGGGGGGCCAGGGUUAGGAACUCAUGGCCGAGCGGACGGCAGGAGCUUCAGAUAAGAAACCAAACAUCUGUCACCAUGGAGAUUCCACAACACUUUUGGACCGCAACUAAACCUCAACUCCAGACCACUACUCAACCCCAACCUCAACCCCAGACCACUACUCAACCUGAACAUCAACCGCAGACCACUACUAAACUCCAGACCACUACUCAACCUCAAACUCAACCCCAGACCACUACAAAACCAAAAUCUCAACCGCAGACCACUAUUCAACCCCAACGUCAACCCCAGACCACUGUUCAACCCCAAACUCAACCCCAGACCACUACUCAACCCCAGACCACUACUCAACCACAACCUCAACCGCAGACCACUAUUCAACCCCAGACCACUACUCAACCUGAACAUCAACCGCAGACCACAUCUAAACCUCAGACCACUACUCAACCCCAACCUCAACCCCAGACCAAUACUCAACCAAAACCUCACCCGCAGACCUCUACUCAACCCCAGACCACUACUCAACCCGAACAUCAACCCCAGACUACUUCUAAGUCUCAACCUCAACCCCAGACUACUUCUAAGUCUCAACCUCAACCCCAGACCACUACUCAACCCCAACCUCAACACCAGACCCUGGCCCCGCUCCCAUCCUGGUCGCUGUGUCUGAAGGGAACACCUUCUGUCCGGAAUGCUGAGGCAGCCCUGCUGCUCUUCUGCCACAGUGGCUCCAGUAGCAGUAAGAUUGCAAUUGACAACAAGAUUGAGCAAGCCAUGGACUUGGUGAAGAGCCACCUGAUGCUGGCUGUGAGAGAGGAGGAGGAGCUACUGAGGAAGCGGAUCAACCAGCUGUCAGAGAGGAACGCCCAUCUGGAGAGAGAGAACUACAUACUGAGAGCACUGAGAGACAGACAGAGACACUAACUCACUCAUCCACGCACACACACAUACACAAAGAGAAGUUAACAGUAUUAGUACAUGCCUUUCAUUUUCUAUUUAAAGGGGUGUUUUGAUUAGUCCUGUAAAAUGUGUAUUUAUAUUGAACCUUUAUGUACCCAGGCGAGUCAAGAACAUAUUCUUAUUUACAAUGACAGCCUGGCUAUGAUGAUGUAGUCUCGUGUAAUGAUGAUGCUGUAGUUAUGAAGAGGCCUGGUUGCCAGUCUCUAUAACGUACCAUUUCUUAGUAUAUUCCAUGUCGUGUGCCAAUGGCAGUUAAUGAGUGGAAUGUUAGCUAAACGGAGACUGGUAACCAGGCUAAUGAAGAGGGGUUCUGAAAGAGAAAGUGUGGUGUGCAUAUUCUGUAAUUCUGCAAAAAAAAAUAUGAGACAAAUAAAUAACUGUUACUAAAGAAGAGUUUGACUUG